rnacentral:rRNA from 1 species
UACGUAGGGUGCGAGCGUUGAUCGGAAUUACUGGGCGUAAAGCGCACGUAGGCGGAUUUGUAAGUCAGGGGUGAAAUCCCGGGGCUCAACCCCGGAACUGCCUUUGAUACUGCGAAUCUCGAGUCCGGAAGAGGUGAGUGGAAUUCCUAGUGUAGAGGUGAAAUUCGUAGAUAUUAGGAAGAACACCAGUGGCGAAGGCGGCUCACUGGUCCGGUACUGACGCUGAGGUGCGAAAGCGUGGGGAGCAAACAGG